rnacentral:rRNA from 1 species
AUGGUGCUAAGAAGGGAGAAUGGAUCAAUGAUAUUUGCGGCAUAUAGAUACAUCUUCAACUGCAACAACGCCCUAGAAGCGGAAUUUCAUGCUAUGAUGCAAGGCAUGGCGCUGGCAAUCGAGCACUUAGAUAAACCUAUCAUUCUAGGCAGAUUCUACUUCAGCCUUGGCCAUGUACUUGAGGGAGACUCACACUCUAGAUCGGCCUAUGGACAUUUAUCUGCUGAGAUUAGAGUUGUAAUGGUAGAUAGAGAGUUUAUUCCUAUGUAA